rnacentral:rRNA from 1 species
CGUAGGGUGCAAGCGUUAAUCGGAAUUACUGGGCGUAAAGAGUGCGCAGGCGGUUUUGUAAGUCUGUCGUGAAAGCCCCGGGCUCAACCUGGGAAUUGCGAUGGAGACUGCAAGGCUUGAAUCUGGCAGAGGGGGGUAGAAUUCCACGUGUAGCAGUGAAAUGCGUAGAGAUGUGGAGGAACACCGAUGGCGAAGGCAGCCCCCUGGGUCAAGAUUGACGCUCAUGCACGAAAGCGUGGGGAGCAAACAGG